rnacentral:rRNA from 1 species
AUGGCUGCCACGAGAACUAUUUUUCUUGCAGUUGCCGCGAUGACCGUCCUGAGCACGGCAUCUGCGGCAAUCUACAACGUGGGGCAGCCGGGCGGCACAUGGGACCUCAGCACCAACUACGGCACAUGGGCGUCCUCCAAGAACUUCCAAACCAAUGACCAGAUCGUCUUCAAGUACUCCCCUCAGGCACACGACGUCCUCGAGGUCAGCAAGAUUGAUGUCAUGCCAGGCUCCUCCUCUACAUCACCCGCCCCGGCCAGCGGCCCAAGUGCAAGUAACGCUCCCCCGCGGACACCUGUCUCUGCUGCCACCAAUGUGGAGGCCGCGGGUUUCGGCCUCGCCGUUUUGCUGGCCGUUGUCGGCCUCGUGGCUUGA